rnacentral:tRNA from 1 species
CAGUAGCUCAGUGGUAAGAGCUUUUAACUACAAAUUGAAAGAUACCAAGUUCAACUCUGUCUG